AAGGUGGCGUCAUAUGUUUCCCUCGCUCGCUCGCUCGUCUCUCGCUGUCUGUGAAGGAAGAAGGAAGAGCAAUGGCGACGCUGUAUCGCCGCGCGCUCACACUGCACACAGGAGCCACAACACACACUAUCUUUACUCUGAUACUGCUGGGAAGAAGCUCUUGAAGGGUUCAGAGGUGAUCAAACGCAGUAAAGCAGAUAUGCUUUUGUAUGGUCACGCCAAAACACAAGA